GGAGCUGAAAUCAGUCGAAGAUACCAGCUGGCUGCAACUGUUUAUUAAAAACACAGCACUGUGCAAACACGAAAGUGGACGUAUACGGUGUGACGCCUGCCCGGUGCCGGAAGGUUAAUUGAUGGGGUUAUCCGUAAGGAGAAGCUCUUGAUCGAAGCCCCGGUAAACGGCGGCCGUAACUAUAACGGUCCUAAGGUAGCGAAAUUCCUUGUCGGGUAAGUUCCGACCUGCACGAAUGGCGUAAUGAUGGCCAGGCUGUCUCCACCCGAGACUCAGUGAAAUUGAACUCGCUGUGAAGAUGCAGUGUACCCGCGGCAAGACGGAAAGACCCCGUGAACCUUUACUAUAGCUUGACACUGAACACUGGUCCUUGAUGUGUAGGAUAGGUGGGAGGCUUUGAAGUGUGGACGCCAGUCUGCAUGGAGCCAUCCUUGAAAUACCACCCUUUAAUGGCUGGUGUUCUAACGUGGGCCCGUGAUCCGGGUUGCGGACAGUGUCUGGUGGGUAGUUUGACUGGGGCGGUCUCCUCCUAAAGAGUAACGGAGGAGCACGAAGGUCAGCUAAUCCUGGUCGGACAUCAGGAGGUUAGUGCAAUGGCAUAAGCUGGCUUGACUGCGAGCGUGACGGCGCGAGCAGGUGCGAAAGCAGGUCAUAGUGAUCCGGUGGUUCUGAAUGGAAGGGCCAUCGCUCAACGGAUAAAAGGUACUCCGGGGAUAACAGGCUGAUACCGCCCAAGAGUUCAUAUCGACGGCGGUGUUUGGCACCUCGAUGUCGGCUCAUCACAUCCUGGGGCUGAAGUAGGUCCCAAGGGUAUGGCUGUUCGCCAUUUAAAGUGGUACGCGAGCUGGGUUUAGAACGUCGUGAGACAGUUCGGUCCCUAUCUGCCGUGGGCGCUGGAGAAUUGAGGGGGGCUGCUCCUAGUACGAGAGGACCGGAGUGGACGCAUCACUGGUGUUCGGGUUGUCAUGCCAAUGGCAUUGCCCGGUAGCUAAAUGCGGAAGAGAUAAGUGCUGAAAGCAUCUAAGCACGAAACUUGCCCCGAGAUGAGUUCUCCCUGACUCCUUGAGAGUCCUGAAGGAACGUUGAAGACGACGACGUUGAUAGGCCGGGUGUGUAAGCGCAGCGAUGCGUUGAGCUAACCGGUACUAAUGAACCGUGAGGCUUAACCUU
rnacentral:rRNA from 1 species